rnacentral:rRNA from 1 species
UACGGGGGGGGCAAGCGUUGUUCGGAAUUACUGGGCGUAAAGGGCUCGUAGGUGGCCAACUAAGUCAGACGUGAAAUCCCUCGGCUUAACCGGGGAACUGCGUCUGAUACUGGAUGGCUUGAGUUCGGGAGAGGGAUGCGGAAUUCCUGGUGUAGUGGUGAAAUGCGUAGAUAUCGGGAGGAACACCAGUGGCGAAGGCGACUACCUGGCCUGUUCUUGACGCUGAGGCGCGAAAGCUAGGGGAGCAAACGGG